rnacentral:rRNA from 1 species
UACGGAGGGUGCGAGCGUUAAUCGGAAUUACUGGGCGUAAAGCGCACGUAGGUGGAAAACCAAGUCAGAUGUGAAAGCCCUAGGCUCAACCUAGGAAUUGCAUUUGAAACUGAUUUUCUAGAGUAUAGUAGAGGGAAGUGGAAUUUUCGGUGUAGCGGUGAAAUGCAUAGAUAUCGAAAGGAACAUCAGUGGCGAAGGCGACUUCCUGGACUAAUACUGACACUGAGGAGCGAAAGCGUGGGGAGCAAACAGG